CCUACGGGUGGCAGCAGUGGGGAAUAUUGCACAAUGGGGGAAACCCUGAUGCAGCGACGCCGCGUGAGUGAAGAAGUAUUUCGGUAUGUAAAGCUCUAUCAGCAGGGAAGAAAUAGCGACCUAUGGGUCGCCAGACGGUACCUGGUAAAGAAGCCCCGGGUAACUACGGGCAAGCAGCCGCGGUAAUAGGUAGGGGGCAAGCGUUAUCCGGAGUUCCUGGUUGUAAAGGGUGAGUAGACGGCAGCGCAAGUCUUAAGUUAAAUGCCGGGGCUUAACCCCGGGACUGCUUUGGAAACUGUGCAGCUAGAGUGCAUGAGAGGUAAGUGGAAUUCCUAGUGUAGCGGUGAAAUGCGUAGAUAUUAGGAGGAACACCAGUGGCGAAGGCGGCUUACUGGACUGAAACUGACGUUGAGGCUCGAAAGCGUGGGGAGCAAACAGGAUUAGAUACCCUUGUAGUC
rnacentral:rRNA from 1 species